UAUAAGGUCAGGAUAGCUCAG
rnacentral:tRNA from 1 species